AAUGAGCGUUGGCGGCAUGGAUUAGGCAUGCAAGUCGAGCGAGAAGUGUAGCAAUACACGGAAAGCGGCGGAAGGGAGAGUAAUACGUGGGAAUCUGCCCUUAGACCUGGGAUAGCAGCGGGAAACUGCUGGUAAUACCAGAUAAUGUCUAUGGACCAAGGGUGUGAUUCCGUCUAGGGAUGAGCCCACGUCCUAUUAGCUAGUUGGUAGGGUAAUGGCCUACCAAGGCGAUGAUGGGUAGCGGGUGUGAGAGCAUGACCCGCCUCACUGGGACUGAGACACUGCCCAGACACCUACGGGUGGCUGCAGUCGAGAAUCUUCGGCAAUGGGCGCAAGCCUGACCGAGCGAUGCCGCGUGCGGGAUGAAGGCCUUCGGGUUGUAAACCGCUGUCGAGGGGGAGCAACUUCCAUAGAGUUAUCUUUAUGGAUUGAGUGAUCCCUGGAGGAAGGACGGGCUAAGUUCGUGCCAGCAGCCGCCGUAAAAC
rnacentral:rRNA from 1 species